GGCGACCACCACGACGGCCCAGCAACUUCGACGACAUCCUAGACUUACAGUUACAGAACCCAGUCACCCCACCACCCAUCUUCUCGAUUUGUCAUCUCUGCGUAUAUAAUUGAUCUGUUACCGCCAGUCCGGAUAAGAAGAUUUAUGAAUGCCCUUCGCUAUUUGCUCGAUUGGAAGUGCUCAAUAUCUCUGAAAAUCCUCUCACUGAUAGAUGUGUAUAUUGCCUCUCCAUUAUCUUGGGAAAUUGCUAGGCUCUUUGCAGCUUGAGCAUAGAGCGCUGUUCUGUCACGUCUACAACAAUUGAAAAGGUUGCCGAUGCAUUGAAUGCUGAUUAUGUGCUUGAGCAACUUUGAAUAGGUAUGCUUGACAUAUGGUAAUUGCAAUACACAUUAGUGGUUGGACUAUUUUGUAUGUUGAUUUGAUCUUUAGAUGUCUCCCAGAUGUUAUUUUGAAUGUCUCGGAUUUAAUGUAUCCUACGAUGCUGGACGAUGUAACGUUGUUAAUUUGGAUGUAAUGUUAAUUUAUGAACUUGGA